AACGAACGCUGGCGGCAUGCCUAACACAUGCAAGUCGAACGAGACCUUCGGGUCUAGUGGCGCACGGGUGCGUAACGCGUGGGAACAUGCCCUUAGGUUCGGAAUAACUCCCCGAAAGGGGUGCUAAUACAGGGUAAUGUCUUCGGACCAAAGAUUUAUCGCCUUUGGAUGGGCCCGCGUUGGAUUAGCUAGUUGGUAGGGUAAAAGCCUACCAAGGCGACGAUCCAUAGCUGGUCUGAGAGGAUGAUCAGCCACACUGGGACUGAGACACGGCCCAAACUCCUACGGGAGGCAGCAGUGGGGAAUAUUGGACAAUGGGCGAAAGCCUGAUCCAGCAAUGCCGCGUGAGUGAUGAAGGCCUUAGGGUUGUAAAGCUCUUUUACCCGAGAUGAUAAUGACGGUACCGGGAGAAUAAGCUCCGGCUAACUCCGUG
rnacentral:rRNA from 1 species